CAUCAUCGCAGGUCCUGCAGCCCCAGGAGGUGAGAUCUGCAGACGAUGGUUCUUUCCAUUAAUGACCCACCAAGGAUGGAGAAGGAACGAGACCACAUGGCUGUGAGGAUAUUAGACCUCACCCUGGAGAUCAUCUCCUUGAUAACUGGAGAGGAUUACAAGGUAGUGAAGAAGUCGUCUGGUGAGUGUGUGAUACCCC